rnacentral:misc_RNA from 1 species
UUAGGCAUUUAAAUUUUCGCUCAGACAACAAAUAUAUUGAUGGUAAAAGCCUCUGGCGGGCGCACACUAGCAUUGCCAGCGGCAUUAAGACGGCCCACCAAAGCAACAAAUAUCAAUUAACACAGGGUGGAGGAGUCUCCGUUAGGAGCGCAACUCGGUAAUGAUCCUCUCGCAGGUUCACCUACGAGAA